rnacentral:sRNA from 1 species
UUGCUAUCUGCGAUAUGGAAGAUUCGAACCUGCCGCAGGUUCGGGUCGAACGCAGUGAGACAACGGAGCCGUUUACGGCGACGGCCCGAAGGGCGAGCGAAGCGAGUCAUCCUGCACG